UGGGGAAUUUUGGACAAUGGGCGCAAGCCUGAUCCAGCCAUGCCGCGUGCAGGAUGAAGGCCUUCGGGUUGUAAACUGCUUUUGUACGGAACGAAAAGGUUCUUUCUAAUAAAGAGAGCUCAUGACGGUACCGUAAGAAUAAGCACCGGCUAACUACGUGCCAGCAGCCGCGGUAAUACGUAGGGUGCAAGCGUUAAUCGGAAUUACUGGGCGUAAAGCGUGCGCAGGCGGUGAUGUAAGACAGUUGUGAAAUCCCCGGGCUCAACCUGGGAACUGCAUCUGUGACUGCAUCGCUGGAGUGCGGCAGAGGGGGAUGGAAUUCCGCGUGUAGCAGUGAAAUGCGUAGAUAUGCGGAGGAACACCGAUGGCGAAGGCAAUCCCCUGGGCCUGCACUGACGCUCAUGCACGAAAGCGUGGGGAGCAAACAGGAUUAGAUACCCUGGUAGUCCACGCCCUAAACGAUGUCAACUGGUUGUUGGGUCUUCACUGACUCAGUAACGAAGCUAACGCGUGAAGUUGACCGCCUGGGGAGUACGGCCGCAAGGUUGAAACUCAAAUGAAUUG
rnacentral:rRNA from 1 species